UGUUUGGGUAUUAGCUGCACUCAACCAGAGAAACUUCAAUUUGUUCUGCUAGCAGCAAAGAACACUUCAGAUUAAUUCAUUGCUAAAAGCCACAGCCAUGGAGGCAUCUUUUGAUCUGCAGAGGAAAAACUUAAGCCUGAAAAUCAGUAACAUCGUAAAGAAAAUGACACGAAGAAGGGCAAAACAAAGUAGAAAACACUGCUGUUUGACUGGAGAAACACAUGCACUUUCUUCUUAAGAUCUACCAUCGCAAAACCCCAAAGGACAUGGAUAGAACACCUGCAAGUCUGCAUCCAGUUCAUUUUUCAGCAGCAAAGCACCAGUUCAUACUUCCCUUGCCACUCUUCAUGAACAUACAUUUUAAGUGACAGGAAAAAAAAAAAAAAAAUGCUGAUUUUGCACAAGAAAAAGUUGUAGUUCAAUUAAAGCUAGUAUCUGCUGAGAAUCCUUAGAAUCCAUUAGGAGAAUGUUUAAAUCUUUAAAUUUACAGUUAAUUUUACUGGGCAAACAUGUACAGUAUCUGGCAACAUUUCAAGGAAUAUAAUGAGGCAGAUUACAGUAUAAUGAAAAGAAGCAACCAAAUGGAAUGUCAAAUUUCUCUCUUUUUAUUCUCACAGCUGAUGAGCCCAAGAUGCUGCCCUGUCUAACAUUCUCAUGAGAGACUCACAAGUUCUGCAAAUACAGACUGAAUAAAUGUGGCUAACACUUCAAGAAAUUAUGUUAGGCAAUCUUGCCCACAACAUAGUUCAUUCUUGUGAUUGAAUUACCACACUGUCAAAUUACUAUUAACAACAUAUAAGAAAAAAAAACAUUUAUUUUUAUACCACAUUUUUCAAACAAACAAUGUAGUUCAAAGCGCUUUCA